rnacentral:rRNA from 1 species
CCUACGGGUGGCUGCAGUGGGGAAUAUUGGACAAUGGGCGAAAGCCUGAUCCAGCCAUGCCGCGUGUGUGAAGAAGGCCUUCGGGUUGUAAAGCACUUUCAGUGGGGAAGAAAGCCUUGGGGCUAAUACCCUCGAGGAAGGACAUCACCCACAGAAGAAGCACCGGCUAACUCCGUGCCAGCAGCCGCGGUAAUACGGAGGGUGCGAGCGUUAAUCGGAAUUACUGGGCGUAAAGCGCGCGUAGGCGGUCUGAUAAGCCGGUUGUGAAAGCCCCGGGCUCAACCUGGGAACGGCAUCCGAAACUGUCAGGCUAGAGUGCAGGAGAGGAAGGUAGAAUUCCCGGUGUAGCGGUGAAAUGCGUAGAGAUCGGGAGGAAUACCAGUGGCGAAGGCGGCCUUCUGGACUGACACUGACGCUGAGGUGCGAAAGCGUGGGUAGCAAACAGGAUUAGAUACCCUAGUAGUC